GGUUACAUGGAUGUCGUUGCAAAGCUCAUCGAGAAAGGAGCCAAUAUUGAUGCUAUAGACGAUCUUAAGCGGACACCUCUUCAUCUUGCUGCUAUGAAUGACAACUUAAAUAUCGUUGAACUUCUUGUCGACAAUGGAGCCAGUGUUACUGCUAGGGACUAUCGUGAUCGGACACCCGGACAGAUAGCUUCUGAUCUUUAUAACAAGGAGGUGGCGGAAUAUCUUUUUAUUGAAUCAUUGGACGGAAACUCAAAACUUUGCUGAAGUGAAAUUUUUAUUCUUUUCUUUGAUUUUUCGUCUAACAAAUAAAGGUUGAGAAUUGGAAA